rnacentral:tRNA from 1 species
GGCCGGUUAGCUCAGUGGGUUGAGCGCGGUGCUGACAACAACGACAACACCGAGAUCGCAGGUUCAAUUCCUGCUUGGUCU